UUUCACUCCACUUCCCAAGCGGGAAGAGUAUGAAAGGAGCACUUCCAGCUUUUCUGUAUGUGCUUCACACGGUAACCCCAUGAGGAACAGUGACUUCGCUGACUGCAGCAUUAGAGAAGAGGAAAUGAAUAUUCUCAAGUUAACCCUGUCUGCCCUUUCUCUCUCCACUGUCCACACAGGAGCCCAUCCGAGUCUGCUCUUGAGCAGGCAACGGACUAUACACAGCACCAAUGAAUUGGCAAGAUUUCCCUAUGAGAAAGGCUAGAAGGCUGACAGUUUCCAUUCGACAGAUGACUAAACUGAGGCAAUAAUGAGAGGCUUUCUACAUUCUAUCAGUCCCACACCAACUGGAGGAAGGAUGAACACGGGAGAUGAGAAGUUCAAAGUAAAUAUUUUUUAACUGUCUGCCACGGCCAUGCUAUAGACACUCGCCAAAGAUUUGCAAGUCAACAGACAAGGACAGUGCUGACCACGCCCCCUCCCCUUGCCUACUCUGCAGUGCUGGCCAUGGUCACCACUACUGAGGCCAAGAAGACUGUUCUGGAAAAGAGUCAUGUACCCGAUUGCCCGAGCUAGUAACCUAGGCAUUAACUGUCUUACAUCUCUCCUCUUCAUUUUCAAUAAUCAAUUUUUGUCCAUUUUUCCUUCCAAAUAUCUUGAGUUUGUGCUUUUUACUUUAAUCUUACUUUUACACCUUAAUUCAGGCCCCCAUCAUUUCCUUCUUGGGCUACUACAACUGCUUUCCAAGUAGCCUUUCUCUACCACUUCCCCGCAACCCCCUCCCUCACAUCAGCUCAAGGAGACUUACAAUAUACAAACCUGGUGGGGUCUUUCCCCUCCCUACAAACUUUCGAUGGCUUCUCAUCACUUUUAGGAUAAAGUCCAAAAUCCUUUACCUUGUCCGUUUCCGUGAUCUGGCCCUGCCUAUGUUCCCACUCAGUGCUGAAUUACGACUGCCUGCCUACACUGUCACCAGAAUUAUCCAAAUCAGUCUUAUUUGAAUUCUUUGAACACACCAUGCUUCUUCCUCUGUUAAGGCCUUCACACAUGCUGUUCCCUCUGAUUGGAACACUCUUCCACACUCUCUCAGACUAACAAGCUACUGCUUGGUCUUUCCAACUUGGUUUCAACUGCACUUUUAGGAACCUGCCUUGAUUUUUCCGAAGUUUAUUGGUUUCCCUCUACAACACGCUCCUUUGGCAACCUGAGUGUUUCUCUUUUCAGACAAUCAUUAUAUUUGUUAAUAAUUACUAAACUCAGGAAUCUGUUUAUCUUACCUCUCACUGGAUUUUCAGUGCAAAGCGUACUUAGAAUACUCCUGAGUAGGAGCUGUUAAGAAAAAUUAUGCAAAACUUAGGUUAAAAAAAAAAUUACUGUGCCUUUUCAAAGUCCUGUUAGGUCACUGUCUAACAA